rnacentral:misc_RNA from 1 species
UUCAUUUAUUUAAUCAAUACUCCGACGUAAAGAGACAGCGUUCGGUGGUCCUCCGGGGGCGGCGGCGGACGCUCUGCCCCCGAGGCAAAAGGGUUUUUAAGGUCAACAAUGGGUUGGGGACGGGGGCACGGAGGCCCGCCAUCUCUGGUAAUGAUCCCUCCGCAGGUUCACCUACGGAGA